CUGUACUGGAGUUGUGUGAGCGGGCAGAGCGUUUUUCUUGACGUAAAUGGCAGGUACAGUAUCAGUGCCUGUUCUGUAAUAUCUGCUGUAUAUCUCCAGUCUACUCCCUGACAUACACAGAGCUCUUCCUGAUUAGCUCUGUAGGCCGUCGCUCAAUUGAUUCAACAGCGGACCGGGAUUCGUUAUGUCUGGCAGCUAGGAAGCAGCCGGAAAGAGACGUGGGAAGAUCUCAGUGUAGUCCUCGUGGUCCUCUGUGCUCUCUUUCUCAGAAAAGAGAGAGGGGAGAGGACAGGACGAGCAUGUGAUUAAAGGGUAGACUAAGGUGGAAUAAGCAGUACAGCCCUCGGUGAAUCAGUACUGUGAGUGUGUUGAGUGGUUCUGUCUCUUGAUACCGAUAGAAGAGAAACAAAGAUACACAGAGGAAUAACAUGCAUCCCUAUGGUACGGGGUGAAAUGUCUAGGUUAAGUGAGGUCUGAGACCACACGGUUGCUGUGAGAGAAUAAAAGCAGGGGAUAAUUGGAACAGAAUAGAAUACUUUUAUUGUCCCUGUGGGGGAAAUUUGUCUGAGGGGAGUGACGUGGGGGGAGGCCAAUUAGACAAGCUAUUUGCCAGAGUACGAAGGCAGGCUACAGCAUCCUGGUGAUGCUAAUCCACUCUCAAUCGCCUCCUUUUGAUGGGUUUAUGGUACAUUGCUAGAUGGGAGGUGGGAGGGGAGAGAGAUUGAGGGAGGCAGGAAGAAAUAGAAGGGAGUAAUGGACGUAUGGUGAAGAGAGUUAGACGGAGAAUGCAGUGGUGCUGCCAGUGGCAGAGGGAGGCAGACGGCCGUUCCUCAGGUCCAGUCUGGGGUUACUAAGAUGGGGAGAAGACAGGGGUGGCGGCAUGGAGCUGAAAGGAAGGCUUUUUAAGGAAACACAUCCGUGCAGACAAGCGUGUGCCUGGCCAGGAAGUGAGUGUUUACUGCUGGGCUGAGCAGCCUCUAUCACGCUCCUUUUGCCUCAUGCGCUUUAUCUCUUUGUGUCUGUCUAUGUGUCUGUCUGUGUGUGUGUUUGUGUGUCUGUCUGUCUGUCUGUCUGUGUGUGUACAGCCUCAGCACUGUCUCUGUCUCAGUGAUGAUAAGCAGACAGUCGAAUGUGGAGCUCAGACCCUGCUCACUGUGAACACUGAAGACCCUGGUGUCAUAAUCCCACUCUCUCUCACACACGCACACAUACACACACCAUCACAUAUAAACAGAUGCAGGCACACACACACGCGCGCGAUUGACUAACCUUGUUGUUUUGCAGACCUUGGUGAAAUGGCUGUGUGCCCUCAGAUCAUAAGCCUAAGAGAAGGGAAGGAGGGAGUGAGAGAAUGACAGACAUGAAAAGAGAGACAGAGAGAGAGAGAGAGAGAGAGAGAGAGAGAGAGAGAGAGGGAAGAAGGGAAAAAAGGAAGGAAGGAAGGAGAAAGACACAGAUAAUACUGAUCACCAUUCACCAAAAUGAGAGCGAGGAAAAGGAUGAAAAACAGAUCUCCUCUCCUGCUCCUCCUGUUUGUCUCCUCUCUUCUUGCUCCCCCUGUUUGUCUGCUUUCACACUAUUCUUGUUGCUCAACACUUCCUCAUUGGACUCUUACCCAUCUCUUCCUAUCCCUACCUCCAAUAUUUUCUUUCUCCCUCUCUCUCUCUCUCUCCUCUACCUACCUUCUUUCUCCCUCUGUCUUCGCUUCCAUUCCUUCUCUCUUUCUUCUCUCUUGCUUCCCUGCUCUCCCCUCCUGCGUUUCCCUCUCUCUCCCUUUGUUAGGUCAGUUUCUUUCUGCUGGCUGGUACUGGUUGAAGCCCUCCUAGGAUUUCGGUGUCAAGUGAAUCCAUUCUUUUAUUAAGAGAUCUACUUUAGCCUCUCACGGUUGCCAAUAGUGAUACAAUCCAAUGUGUAAUCAUUUCAUUUAGUUACUCUCAAGGCUGGUAAGCACUGCAUAUACUGCAGAGUGUAGAAUAUCCUGAAAUUAGGAUUCCUUUAUCAUUCUGCUUUCUCAUUCCACUCAAGCAUAGAAGAAGAUGCAUGUUUGCUUGUUAUUACCCAUACUUUGCUAUGCUCUGGCCUGCAGGCAGAUUUCCUGACGGAGAAGCUAAUAUAAUGAGAGCUUUUCUGUAAGCGUCAAUGAGAAUGAGCUGUUCUGGGAGGAAGAGAGGGUUGGCUGCUCACUUUGGAUGUUCUAGUUUGAACAUUUUACAAUUGUGUGUGUGCGUGCGUGUGCGUGCAUGCAUGCUCUUACGUCUGUGUGUGUUUGUCCUUUAGCAACCACAGCCAGUUGUAAGAUCGACUUCCCCUCUCGGCCCACAAGGGAAGUCAGUGAGAAGAUAUAGGGGAGGAGGAUAUGUCUUGAAAGUCGAUAUUUGACUUUGUGUUACUCAUGGGUUUUCCCUAGGCUACAAACCAUCAGGAUAGAAAAAACUGAAAUUUCCCUGUUUUGCAUCAUCCACUGGAUUCCAACUGUGAAGCUAGAAGCUCUUUAACUUCCUCUCUGUGCAAUAAAAAAAAAAAAAUAAACAAACUGAACGAAUGUGUGGCUCAGAAAACGCGUCCUUAACGUCCUGAUGCUACUGUGAGUGUGUUUAAGGAAGUGUCAGUGCCCCGAAGAGGACCGCGUACAGAAUGAUGUCAUGAUGUGACCUUGCUUCUGAGGGAGAGGUUUGGACGUGGUUCGUGCGAACCUACCCAACCACUGCUUGUGCUUUAUGAUCCAACAUGUCCCUUGUCCCAGUGUACUAUUGCUUCUCUGCCUUCCAUAAAAGACCCAUCAACAUAUCAGUCACACACUCAAAGUCAGAGAACCUGUAUUUUUUUCACCGUUCAAUUAUCACGAUGUAUACUACAGACUGUGUUGUUGCUCUUCUCAUUCUGAUAAUUCCGUGAUGAAUAAAAUAAAUAGAAAACACUCUCUGCACAGGGACUUCAAUAUUGUAGCAUGAAGGAAGGCCUGUUUGGACAUAGGAGUCGUCAAGGGAUGGGGAAACUGGGAGUCCUGGAUCGGCAUGUAACCAGAGAACUUUUCAGCUUGAUUAUAGCCAGCUGAUCCACAAACUGACGGAGGAACCCGAACAAAAAGAUCCCACCUCCUCCUGUUUUCUGUUCUGUUGUUUUCUCUACUCCCUCCUCAUGUAUUUAAGACUCUUCUUGUUCUAGUUGUUCUGCUCUCCCCAAAGGAAAGGAGAGAGAGAGCAACUCCCCUUUGAUUCCAAUCCCCAUCACCUAGUCAUUUGGGGUUUCAAACUUUGUAAUGGGUUCCUCUUUAGUGCGAGACCUGGCUUUAGCUGUGUGGAGGGGACUUGAAUUGCCAGCACCAGCUGAGCCUGAGAGGGGGUUGGGGUUGUGUGCAGUGGGGUCAUGUCCUGAAAUGUCCCAUGGAAGGUUACCACACCCUUUCCCCUGGUCUCAGAGGCAAUGUUCCGAUGUUGUCCCAGUCAGAAGUGUUGUUCUGCUGGAGUGUGGAUAUAUUUUCCACUGUGAUUCUGAACUGUUCGGAGCAUGUAUUUCAGACAGGGGGACCUAAUACCAUUGGCAUGAUUAACUGCUCUGGUCAAGAGCAUCUUGUCACCUUGCUAAAGCCAAACUGAAAUAUAAUAUGUCUGUUUCUGGUCUUGCUGCAAUGUUUCAUGUUUCAGGUCUUCAUUUGUAAGAAGAUUACUUUAUAUUGUUUGUAAAAAAUUGUAAUCCUAUUUAUUUUUUCUCUGCCUGCAUUCAUGCAUUUGUAAGUGAAUGAAUGUUCAUUGUUUAAAGUAUAUAAUGCAUGGUCCAAUUUAAAGAUGCAGUUUUUUUAUUUCAUUCAGGCUUUUUUUUUGCAUUUUCUUCCUAAGUGGAACCUGUUCCUUUUAAAGGGGGGUAUGAACCCUUUCCAACCAUGUGGUCAGUGAGGUUUACAUGUCAGAGGUGAGUGGUUAGGGGUCAGAGUAAGCAAGGACAUGUUAAGGAUCAACUCUGCUCACAUUACCCAGAAUGCAAGUGACCAGGUCAAGGUGUCAACACUGCCUGGCUUAGAGAAUGUGUUUAUUUCAGAAGUGGCUGGGGUAACACCAUACAUUUCUAUGUUGACGGGUGAGAGGCAUUUCUGCUUAAUUUGAUGUAAUUGAACUGACACACGCUGGUCAACAGCUCUAACACCAAAUAAACGUGUUGCCGUGUCAAUAGAGAAACAGUGGGAGUUAAAAACGACAACAACAGGCAGCACUGUAAAUGACAAAUAGGAACAGGCUGUGAGAAUUUGCAUGUGUUGUGAGCUGGUGGCAGAGGCCUGCAGUAACUGUCGGGUACAUCAGCCCAGUGAAACCCAUUCUGUGACCCCGAUGCAGCUAGCUGGGCCUUGUAGUUCCGUGAGGAAUGUGACUGGGCAGCUGUCACUGGAACAGCCGGGGACUGACCGGGUCACAUGUUCUUUGGACUCAUCCCAGUCAGGCAUCUCUCUCCAGGUUCCCUUGAGUCUCCGGUCACUAAGUUCCACUCUAGAAUAUUCAAUAUUCUGACUCUCAUGUGUUUGUAUUUAAGCCAUUUAUCAAUGUCAACCGAAGGCCUGCAUACGCUCAAGUCAGUGACCUGCCCUUUUAGUGCAGUUUGAAAGAGAAGAUGGGGAGGGUUUGGAUGGUGUCCUGUAUGCAUGGUGUUUAAGAAGGGCAGGCAAAAAACAUCAGGGCUUUUGCUGAUUGCCACUGAUCUAGGAAUACAGAGAGUUCCAAAGAACUAGAGG
ensembl:lncRNA